rnacentral:rRNA from 1 species
UACGUAGGAGACGAGCGUUGUCCGGAAUUACUGGGCGUAAAGCGCGUGUAGGCGGAUGAGCAAGUCUGCUGUGAAAGCUCCUGGCUUAACCGGGAGUGGUCGGUGGAAACUGCUCGUCUGGAGGACGGUAGAGGUAGGUAGAAUUCCGGGUGUAGCGGUGAAAUGCGUAGAUAUCCGGAGGAACACCGGUGGCGAAGGCGGCUUCCUGGACCGACACUGACGCUGAGGCGCGAAAGCUAGGGGAGCAAACGGG